rnacentral:rRNA from 1 species
AUUGAACGCUGGCGGCAGGCUUAACACAUGCAAGUCGAGCGGGGAAGUAUAGCUUGCUAUACGACCUAGCGGCGGACGGGUGAGUAAUGCUUAGGAAUCUGCCUAUUAGUGGGGGACAACAUUCCGAAAGGAAUGCUAAUACCGCAUACGCCCUACGGGGGAAAGCAGGGGAUCUUCGGACCUUGCGCUAAUAGAUGAGCCUAAGUCAGAUUAGCUAGUUGGUGGGGUAAAGGCCUACCAAGGCGACGAUCUGUAGCGGGUCUGAGAGGAUGAUCCGCCACACUGGGACUGAGACACGGCCCAGACUCCUACGGGAGGCAGCAGUGGGGAAUAUUGGACAAUGGGCGAAAGCCUGAUCCAGCCAUGCCGCGUGUGUGAAGAAGGCCUUUUGGUUGUAAAGCACUUUAAGCGAGGAGGAGGCUACCGAGAUUAAUACCCUUGGAUAGUGGACGUUACUCGCAGAAUAAGCACCGGCUAACUCUGUGCCAGCCGCCGCAGUAACAC